UAAUACGAGGGGGGCAAGCGUUGUCCGGAUUUAUUGGGCGUAAAGAGUUCGUAGGCUGGUUGGUCAGUCGAAAUUGAAAUCCCACGGCUUAACCGUGGACCCGGUUUUGAUACUGCCAAUCUUGAGUGAGGUAGAGGUAAGCGGAAUUCCUGGUGUAGCGGUGAAAUGCGUAGAUAUCAGGAGGAACACCAAAGGCGAAGGCAGCUUAAUGGACCUAUACUGACGCUGAGGAACGAAAGCGUGGGGAGCAAACAGGAUUAGAGACCCUGGUAGUCCACGCCGUAAACGAUGA
rnacentral:rRNA from 1 species